UGGCGGACGGGUGAGUAACGCUGGGGAACCUGCCCUGUACAGGGGGAUAACACUUAGAAAUAGGUGCUAAUACCGCAUAAGCGCACAGUAUCGCAUGAUACAGUGUGAAAAACUCCGGUGGUACAGGAUGGACCCGCGUCUGAUUAGCUGGUUGGCGGGGUAACGGCCCACCAAGGCGACGAUCAGUAGCCGGCCUGAGAGGGUGAACGGCCACAUUGGGACUGAGACACGGCCAAACUCCUACGGAAGGCAGCAG
rnacentral:rRNA from 1 species